rnacentral:lncRNA from 1 species
GCACUACAACCUGGGCUACAGAGAGAGACUCCAUCUCAAAAAACGAAAAAGAAAAAUGGAUUCAAAGAAUUAUCACUGUUAAGUUCCACCAGCAAAUUACUAAACGUGGUUCCAAAGGAAUAUUUAAAAAGGGAAAUUAAGUGUUACCAAGAAAGCCCUAUUUACAGCAGAAACACAGACACUGUUCGUGACCUCACUACAGAAACUUCCUUCAUGUGUUGGGAGGGACCAAGGGGCUCUCUGGUCCUGCACCUGCAUUAAUUACUUCCAGGAGGUCCACGCUAGGACCCCAAGGCCUGGGAACCAGCCUGGGUCAGGGGCAGAGAAGUGGUGAACGUGGCUCCAAGGGGCACUCCUGAGGUGCAGAGGAGGAUUUGUGACAGCCCAGAGGAUAGAGGAAAUGGUGGCUUUGAAAAGGUUUGUGCUAUGUACUAACAUGCAAUACAAAUACUGAUGAAAACAAAACUAUUGCCCUCCUACCAAAUGGGAAAUUAAUGUUAUGACUGGAUAAAUUCGAGGUUGUCUAUCUCCGUUUUCUGAUGGAAAAGCGUGGAGUUCAGAAGCAUUGCUCGCUCCUUCAGUUUCUAACAAGUCAGUAAUCUCAUAGCAAUUUAAAUUUAAAUGUUUGAAUUACCUCUCCUUCCCUGGUUCAGAGCCAGGUCUUGGAGAGACCAGGAAGCCAAGAGUUUCCUCCAAGAAUGGAGAUUCCUUGGGAGCGAUGUUUGCCUUGAGUAAAGAAAGAUGAAUCACAUGUGGUCAAAGGCAGUUGUCCAGGGUCUCAAGAAAAGAGCCAGAAAGAGGAGCUGGGGCUGCUGGGAUUGUGGGGGUCCUCUCUCCCACCUAAAAAGCUACUACUGCCUGCUGACCCUCUGAAGAGGAGACCCCUCUGGGCUCCAGCACCUAAAACAGACAAAACUGGGAGGAUGGUUCUCUCUUCUGUGUCACACAUGUCCUAGAGAAAACCUGUGUAUCUAAAUGACCAAA